GCCUGGGUGGCUCAGUCGGUUAAGCGUCUGACUUCAGCUCAGGUCACGAUCUCGCGGCCCGUGAGUUUGAGCCCCACGUCGGGCU
rnacentral:tRNA from 1 species